rnacentral:rRNA from 1 species
UACGAAAGGGGCUAGCGUUGUUCGGAAUUACUGGGCGUAAAGCGCACGUAGGCGGCCUUGUAAGAUGGGGGUGAAAUCCCUGGGCUCAACCCAGGAACUGCCUUCAUGACUGCAAAGCUUGAGGACGCGAGAGGUUAGCGGAAUUCCGAGUGUAGAGGUGAAAUUCGUAGAUAUUCGGAAGAACACCAGUGGCGAAGGCGGCUAACUGGCGCGUUUCUGACGCUGAGGUGCGAAAGCGUGGGGAGCAAACAGG